GACGGAGGGUGCAAGCGUUAUCCGGAAUCACUGGGCGUAAAGCGUCUGUAGGUGGUCAGAUAAGUCAACUGUUAAAUCUUGAGGCUCAACCUCAAAAUCGCAGUCGAAACUAGUCGACUAGAGUAUAGUAGGGGUAAAGGGAAUUUCCAGUGGAGCGGUGAAAUGCGUAGAGAUUGGAAAGAACACCGAUGGCGAAGGCGCUUUACUGGGCUAUUACUGACACUGAGAGACGAAAGCGAGGGGAGCAAACGGG
rnacentral:rRNA from 1 species